UACAGAGGGUGCGAGCGUUGUCCGGAAUCACUGGGCGUAAAGGGCGCGUAGGCGGCCUGAUAAGUAGGGGGUGAAAUCCUGUGGCUCAACUGCAGGGCUGCCUCCUAGACUGUCGGGCUUGAGCACGGUAGAGGCAGAUGGAAUUCCCGGUGUAGCGGUGGAAUGCGUAGAGAUCGGGAAGAACAUCGGUGGCGAAGUCGGUCUGCUGGGCCGUUGCUGACGCUGAGGCGCGACAUCCUGGGGAGCAAACAGG
rnacentral:rRNA from 1 species